rnacentral:tRNA from 1 species
UAUAAGGUAAACUAAAAAAGUUGUUAGGCUCAUGCCCUAAAUAUGUAAGUUAUAUAUUGCUCUUAUAG